CCAGCAGCUGCGGUAAUUCCAGCUCCAAUAGCGUAUAUUAACUUUGUUGCAGUUAAAAGGCUCGUAGUCGAAUUUAUGGCUUUGUAGUCGUGGCCCACUAUCAAGUGUAGUGAGUGCUGUUGACUACUGGUCAUCCUUCUGGAAAGCACUUCUGACCUUCACUGGUUUGGUCGUUGCAAUCCAGAUUAUUUACUGUGAGUAAAUCAAAGUGUUCAAAGCAGGCUUGUGAAGCUUGUAUGCUCUAGCAUGGAAUAAUAAGAUAGGACUUGGGUUCUAUUUUGUUGGCUUUCAGAAUCAAAGUAAUGAUCGAUAGGGAUAGUUGGGGGUGCUAGUAUUUAAUGGUCAGCGGUGAAAUGCUCAGACCCUUUAAAGACUAACUUAUGCGAAAGCAUUCACCAAGGAUAUCUUCG
rnacentral:rRNA from 1 species